AUACCGGCGUACCGUGGGCUAUAUCGUCAAAGAGGAAUGCUUCUCUGGAUUAAACUGUUUUCAAACUUUGGUACUGGCGUACGGCCACGAGAUAUCUCAACAACCGUUGAGGCUAUAGGCGGCUCAAACCGCUCAAUCCACGGGCUUCGCUUGCAUCGCCAGCAGCUGUUUGGGCAUACGAAUUCCUCUUGUGCCGUGCACACAUCACUACUUUGAAAAACCGCAUCAGACGCAGACAAAUAGUGUAAGUGCAGCUGCCAUUUGCGUCGCACCUAGGUCUCGCAAGCAACAAAGAAGACUGAGAAAGCCUAUGCUAGAUCUGCACUGUGGGGAUUACAAAACCAGGAAGGCCGACCAGAGAUCAAGGAGGGCGGCGCGCUCGUAUCCGGGGGAGCUCCCACCUGGAGCCCUUCCUCCCGUUCAGUUCACGUUCACAGCGGUUUCUAUACUAGUAUGCUUUGUCUCGGCAGCAGAGCACGGCAGUUCAGACAAGGAAAUUCGCUGCCCGCUGCCGGGUAGUGCACUGCGGGUCUACGUGUGGUCGCGGUCGCACUUGGCGUCGUCGUGCGGCGGAUCUGUUUGGACGGGACAGGAAGAACCGGCUGCUGCAUCGGCGAAUCGGAGAGACAUGGCUCGCGCGCUCUCUUUCGCCCCGGGCGCUUUUCCGGCCAUCAACCAAAACCACCUCUGUCCGCGCGACGCCCGUCCAACGUGCGUGGCGAUAGGGGCGGACUGGACCGAGUAACCAGCUCGCAAAAUCGUGAGUUGCUUCUUUCUUCGCUGAUAGAAGAGCGUUACAGGAACGUUUGUAUGUUUGAUCUGCAGUUUUUUACUUUUUUUAAAAGCUGCUGGUGGUAUUUUUUUGAAAAAAUAGUAACUUUUAGAAAAUGUGUUUAGC